AGCAGCCGCGGUAAUUCCAGCUCCAAUAGCGUAUAUUAAAGUUGUUGCAGUUAAAAAGCUCGUAGUUGAAUUUCGGGGUUAGUAAGUUGGUCAUGCCUCUGGUAUGCACUGGCUUUACUGAUUCCUCCUUCUUGAUGAACUGUAAUGUCAUUAAUUUGGUGUUGCAGGGAAUCAGGACUGUUACUUUGAAAAAUUAGAGUGUUUAAAGCAGGCAUACGCUUGAAUACAUUAGCAUGGAAUAAUGAAAUAGGACGUUUGAUCCUAUUUUGUUGGUUUCUAGGAUUGACGUAGUGAUUAAUAGGGAUAGUUGGGGGCAUUAGUAUUCAAUUGUCAGAGGUGAAAUUCUUGGAUUUAUUGAAGACUAACUACUGCGAAAGCAUUUGCCAAGGAUGUUUUCAUUAAUCAAGAACGAAAGUUAGGGGAUCGAAGACGAUCAGAUACCGUCGUAGUCUUAACCAUAAACUAUGCCGACUAGGGAUCGGAUGAUGUUAUUUUAAUGACUCAUUC
rnacentral:rRNA from 1 species